UGGGGAAUUUUGGACAAUGGGCGAAAGCCUGAUCCAGCAAUGCCGCGUGUGUGAAGAAGGCCUUCGGGUUGUAAAGCACUUUUGUCCGGAAAGAAAUGGCUCUGGUUAAUACCUGGGGUCGAUGACGGUACCGGAAGAAUAAGGACCGGCUAACUACGUGCCAGCAGCCGCGGUAAUACGUAGGGUCCAAGCGUUAAUCGGAAUUACUGGGCGUAAAGCGUGCGCAGGCGGUUGUGCAAGACCGAUGUGAAAUCCCCGAGCUUAACUUGGGAAUUGCAUUGGUGACUGCACGGCUAGAGUGUGUCAGAGGGGGGUAGAAUUCCACGUGUAGCAGUGAAAUGCGUAGAGAUGUGGAGGAAUACCGAUGGCGAAGGCAGCCCCCUGGGAUAACACUGACGCUCAUGCACGAAAGCGUGGGGAGCAAACAGGAUUAGAUACCCUGGUAGUCCACGCCCUAAACGAUGUCAACUAGUUGUUGGGGAUUCAUUUCCUUAGUAACGUAGCUAACGCGUGAAGUUGACCGCCUGGGGAGUACGGUCGCAAGAUUAAAAGCUCAAAAUGAAUUGACGGGGUCAUAGCUGUUU
rnacentral:rRNA from 1 species